rnacentral:lncRNA from 1 species
GUAUAAGUAUUACAUGAUACCUGGAUUGGUUGUGCAAGCACUUGCUGAAAAAAAAAGAAACAAGGUUUGGCAUGAAUUUUACCUGAGUGGCACCUUGUGCAGAUAUAUUAGUGAAAUAUGUUAGAAUGAAGAACAGCAACAAAGACACAGCACAUCAAGUAUCAAUUGUAAUGAAAAACCACAGUAUAUAUACAAGGAUUCUUGAACUUGUUCUUUGAUGUGGGUUUUCGAAUCUGAACAGUAUCCAAUCNUAUGAUCUCGUGUGAAUGAAUAUGCGCAGUUAGCAUCGUUAUCACACAUGUCUCCACCAUGACGUAGCAUUGGCAUGGCAACUAGCCAACGACGCUGACAAAGAAAAACGCUGGCUCGUGAGACAAGAUUUUCCAUGUGCUCAACUUUGUCGCUGGUAUAUGUAUUAAUACUGCCAAGAAUAGCUCUGCAGUGAGGGAAAUGAUCCCUUUGAACAGCUAUCAGGAACACACCAAGCACAUACAACUAUUACAUGCAAGAUUUUCACAAUAGAAAAAAAGGCUCAUUCCUAUUGUGCAAAAAACAGUUGUACUGUCAAGUUUUAGUCCAUGAUACUAUUGAUGCAUCCCAGAUGUCAUUGUCACUUUAUUCAUUAUUCACUUAAUUCUUUAUGAGUCCUUAAUAGAAUUAUUGAAGACAACUGAGUUUUUGUCAGAAAAAUUAUUGGACCUUGAACCAAACAUCAUUAAGAAUAUAGAUUUACAAUAAAAUGUAAAAUUUAAUACCAACACCAAAACUGUAACACUGUAACAUGCCUUACAUCAAAAUAGGCCUAUUUUUGAUAUUGACAAAGUCAAUAGUGCUUUAUCAUUUCUGUAUGCAAAAUUGAAAAAAAAA